GACGAACGCUUGCGGCGUGCCUAAGAAAUGCAAGUCGAGCGAGGUUUAGGCUUCGGCCGACGACCUAGCGGCGAACGGUCGCGUAACACGUAAGCAACCUGCCCUAAAGUUGGGGAUAGCCCGCCGAAAGGCGGAUUAAUACCGAAUGUGGAUAUGAUUUCGCAUGUGAUUAUAUCUGAAGCAGCGAUGCGCUUUAGGAUGGGCUUGCGGCCUAUCAGUUAGUUGGUGUGGGUAACGGCCUACCAAGACGACGACGGGUAGCUGGUCUGAGAGGAUGGUCAGCCGGAUUGGGACUGAGACACGGCCCAGACUCCUACGGGGGGCAGCAAUUAGGAAUCUUGCGCAAUGGGCGAAAGCCUGACGCAGCGACGCCGCGUGACUGAUGAAGUCUUUCGAGAUGUAAAGGUCUUUUGUUGGGGACGUAAGGAAGUGACGGUACCCGACGAAUAAGCCCCGGCUAACUACGUGCCAGCAGCCGCGGUAAGAGUGUGUGUA
rnacentral:rRNA from 1 species